rnacentral:rRNA from 1 species
CAAUAGCGUAUAUUAAAGUUGUUGCAGUUAAAAAGCUCGUAGUUGGAUUUCUGGUUGAAGCGACCGGUCGGGCGUUGAUUCGUCUGCACUGGAGUCGGUUCUGGCCAUCCUCUAGGAAAGUGCGUCUGGUAUUAAGUUAUCGGGCGUAUGAUCCUGGUCUUUUACUGUGAAAAAAUUAGAGUGUUUAAAGCAGGCCUUCGCCUUGAAUACAUUAGCAUGGAAUAAUAAGAUAGGACUUUGGUCUAUUUUGUUGGUUUGCAGACCGAAGUAAUGAUUAAUAGGGAUAGUUGGGGGUAUUUAUAUUCCGAUGUCAGAGGUGAAAUUCUUAGAUUUUCGGAAGAUAAACUUAUGCGAAAGCAUUUACCAAGGAUGUUUUCAUUAA